GCCUCUGUGGUGUAGUGGUAGAGCACGCGUCUCUUGAAAAGCGGGUUCGAUUCCCGCCUGGGGAA